rnacentral:rRNA from 1 species
GGGGAAUAUUGGGCAAUGGGCGCAAGCCUGACCCAGCCAUGCCGCGUGAGUGACGACGGCCUUAGGGUUGUAAAGCUCUUUUGGCGGGGACGAUAAUGACGGUACCCGCAGAAUAAGCCCCGGCUAACUUCGUGCCAGCAGCCGCGGUAAUACGAAGGGGGCUAGCGUUGUUCGGAAUCACUGGGCGUAAAGCGCACGUAGGCGGACUUUCAAGUCAGGGGUGAAAUCCCGGGGCUCAACCUCGGAACUGCCUUUGAUACUGUUGGUCUCGAGUCCGAUAGAGGUGGGUGGAAUUCCUAGUGUAGAGGUGAAAUUCGUAGAUAUUAGGAAGAACACCGGUGGCGAAGGCGGCCCACUGGAUCGGUACUGACGCUGAGGUGCGAAAGCGUGGGUAGCAAA